rnacentral:lncRNA from 1 species
AGACACUAAGAGCCACCUGCCUUAAGAACCUGACCUCUCAUUGAGUCCUCUCUUUAUCUCGCGAGAUAACACAGUAUCCCUUGGUCCUUUUUCUCAUUGGUUUCUAGGGCAGACCAAACAACAGUACAGAAGCCGGCCAGCCAGCCAGCCAAAUCCAUGGCCCCAUGCAUGAAGACCCAGACUCAUGGCUCCUUGCAAAAGUCGAUAGUUGUAGACCCACCCAUGGCUCCCUUUUCAACAUCACCUGGCCUCUCUCCCUUUCUUCACUCCAAUGUCAGGUCUCAUCGUCUAAUCUGGGUUGCUAUAAUUUACUCAUUAGUAAUUGUUUAUUAUUUAUAGCUCGAUUAUUUUUUUUAAUUAUUAUUAACUAAUUUUAAUUUAAAAUUAAUAAAAAUAAAUAUUUUAAUUUUUGAUACAAUAAAAUUUAACAUUUAUUUUAGUAACUAUAUUAACAAUAAAUUUCUCCACUUUCUGUCUAUAUAUAUAUUUUAAAAUGUAUUUAUAGAAUUAUUCAUGAAAGAAAAUAAAUUAAAAUUUAUAUAUAAAAUCACAAAUAAUAAUACUAAUCAUUAUUUUAUUAUAAGGGUGAUACAAAAAAAGAGAGGUGGAAGUAAUUCAUUUGAAAAGAG